ACCACGUCUAGGAAUUGUGAGGGAAAGUUGUAUGCAUACUUCUCAAUCACUUCUUUCUGUAUUAGUUGUGGGUCUCGUGCCAUGUUUUCUUCUUCAGGACAAGAUAAGAACCAGUAUAACUCUUUGUCGUUUAGAGGGACAUAACCACCCCUUUUCCCAACAUCCCCAAAUUGCUUUACUUCUUUAGUAAACUCGUGGCCUUGUGGAAACACUGCC
rnacentral:misc_RNA from 1 species